rnacentral:rRNA from 1 species
GAUGAACGCUGGCGGCGUGCCUAAUACAUGCAAGUCGAGCGAACAGACGAUGAGCUUGCUCCUCUGACGUUAGCGGCGGACGGGUGAGUAACACGUGGAUCACCUACCUAUAAGACUGGGAUCACUUCGGGAAACCGGAGCUAAUACCGUAUAAUAUAUUGAUCCGCAUGGUUCAAUAGUGAAAUACGGUUUUGCUGUCACUUAUAGAUGGAUCCGCGCCGCAUUAGCUAGUUGGUAAGUUAACGGCUUACCAAGGCAACGAUGCGUAGCCGACCUGAGAGGGUGAUAGGCCGACCUGGAACUGAGACACGGUCAAGACUCCUAAGGGAGGCAGCAGUAGGGAAUCUGACGCAAUGGGCGAAAGCAUGACGGAGCAACGGCGCGUGAGUGAUGAAGGUCUUCGGAUCGUAAAACUCGGUUAUUAGGGAAGAACAAAUGUGUAAGUAACUAUGCACGUCUUGACGGUACCUAAUCAGAAAGCAACGGCUAACUACGUG